rnacentral:snRNA from 1 species
CUGCUUGCUUCAGCAGCACAUAUACUAAAAUUGGAAUGGUAUAGAGAAGAUUAGCAUGGCCACUGUGCAAGGAUGGCGUGCACAUUUGUGAAGUGUUCCAUAUUUAA